rnacentral:rRNA from 1 species
UCCGGUUGAUCCUGCCAGUAGUCAUAUGCUUGUCUCAAAGACUAAGCCAUGCAUGUCUAAGUAUAAAUAACUACACAGUAAAACUGCGAAUGGCUCAUUAAAACAGUUAUAGUUUAUUUGAUACAUUAAAUGGAUAACUGUAGAAAAACUAGAGCUAAUACAUGCUAAGGCCGCAAGGUUGUAUUUAUUAGAUAUUCCAAUAAGGUGAAUCAUAAUAACUUCGCAAAUCUCAUAUUUGUUGAGAUAAAUCAUCCAAGUUUCUGCCCUAUCAUGCUUUCGUUGGUAGUGUAUUGGACUACCAUGGCUCUCACGGGUAACAGGGAAUUAGGGUUCGAUUCUGGAGAAGGAGCCUGAGAAACGGCUACUACAUCUACGGAAGGCAGCAGGCGCGUAAAUUACCCAAUCCUGACUCAGGGAGGUGGUGACAAGAUAUAACAACGAGACUUUAAAUCUCGAUUGUAGUGAGGGUAUUCUAAAUAGAACCUAUAGUACGAUUAGAGGGCAAGUCUGGUGCCAGCAGCCGCGGUAAUUCCAGCUCUAAUAGCGUAUAUUAAAGUUGCUGCAGUUAAAAAGCUCGUAGUU